CCUACGGGUGGCAGCAGUGGGGAAUAUUGGACAAUGGGCGAAAGCCUGAUCCAGCCAUGCCGCGUGUGUGAAGAAGGCCUUCGGGUUGUAAAGCACUUUCAGUGGGGAAGAAAGCCUUGGGGCUAAUACCCUCGAGGAAGGACUUCACCCACAGAAGAAGCACCGGCUAACUCCGUGCCAGCAGCCGCGGUAAUACGGAGGGUGCGAGCGUUAAUCGGAAUUACUGGGCGUAAAGCGCGCGUAGGCGGUCUGAUAAGCCGGUUGUGAAAGCCCCGGGCUCAACCUGGGAACGGCAUCCGGAACUGUCAGGCUAGAGUGCAGGAGAGGAAGGUAGAAUUCCCGGUGUAGCGGUGAAAUGCGUAGAGAUCGGGAGGAAUACCAGUGGCGAAGGCGGCCUUCUGGACUGACACUGACGCUGAGGUGCGAAAGCGUGGGUAGCAAACAGGAUUAAUACCCUAGUAGUC
rnacentral:rRNA from 1 species